rnacentral:rRNA from 1 species
AUGUCUUCUUCAAGCUCCCGCACCACCUUGCGAAUGCAGAGCCUGGCGCGUGUGGAGAUGCCUAUCUUCGUCUGUCCGCGGUGCUAGGUGGGCGUUGAUCGGAGGGUUUCUCACACACCGAGGAACCAUAAUCGUCCGUUCUAUGUGUGCAGCGAGAAUGGGGUGAAAUGUUUCUUCGUUUGGGUCGAUGCUCUGUGUAAGACUCUGAUGAAUGAACUGCAAAAAGAGCAUGAAGAAUGGUUGUGCAUGCUGCCACGAACGACAGUGGUCGCAGCACGACCUCCGGAAGAAGAGAUGGAGGGUGAAGCACGCACUGACAGAGAGCUAGCUGUUGAGCUUAGGAUGUUGAAGAAGAAUGUUUGGAAGCUUGAAGAUCAAGCACAAACACCCAUUUGCAAUUUAUUUUGGGCAUUUGUAGCUAUGGUAAUCGCACUGGGUGUAAUUUUGAAAUUGUAUGGAAAGGCAUGA